UACGUAGGUGGCAAGCGUUAUCCGGAAUUACUGGGCGUAAAGCGCACGCAGGCGGUCUGUUAAGUUUGACGUGAAAGCUCCCGGCUUAACUGGGAGAGGUCGUUGAAGACUGGCAGACUUGAGGCGAUGAGAGGGGUGUAGAAUUCCCGGUGUAGUGGUGGAAUGCGUAGAUAUCGGGAGGAACACCAGUGGCGAAGGCGGUUGCCUGGGGCUUUGCUGACGCUGAUGCGCGAAAGCGUGGGGAGCGAUCCGG
rnacentral:rRNA from 1 species